rnacentral:rRNA from 1 species
ACGACGGGUAGCCGGCCUGAGAGGGCGACCGGCCACACUGGGACUGAGACACGGCCCAGACUCCUACGGGAGGCAGCAGUGGGGAAUAUUGCACAAUGGGCGAAAGCCUGAUGCAGCGACGCCGCGUGAGGGAUGACGGCCUUCGGGUUGUAAACCUCUUUCAGCAGGGAAGAAGCGAAAGUGACGGUACCUGCAGAAGAAGCGCCGGCUAACUACGUGCCAGCAGCCGCGGUAAUACGUAGGGCGCGAGCGUUGUCCGGAAUUAUUGGGCGUAAAGAGCUCGUAGGCGGCUUGUCACGUCGGUUGUGAAAGCCCGGGGCUUAACCCCGGGUCUGCAGUCGAUACGGGCAGGCUAGAGUUCGGUAGGGGAGAUCGGAAUUCCUGGUGUAGCGGUGAAAUGCGCAGAUAUCAGGAGGAACACCGGUGGCGAAGGCGGAUCUCUGGGCCGAUACUGACGCUGAGGAGCGAAAGCGUGGGGAGCGAACAGGAUUAGAUACCCUGGUAGUCCACGCCGUAAACGGUGGGCACUAGGUGUGGGCGACAUUCCACGUCGUCCGUGCCGCAGCUAACGCAUUAAGUGCCCCGCCUGGGGAGUACGGCCGCAAGGCUAA